GCUGGCAUCUUUACUAGGUGCUAGCUCCCUUACAGGAGAUGCCUCUUGAUGGUUGAUACAGAUCUUGUUCAACUUCUUUCUUCUCAAACUCUCUACGAAGAAGGAAGCUGAUGAUAUGGAGGAUGAUGAUGAGAGACUCCUCUCUCUUUUCUCUCAAAAGCAUGCUCAAAGAGAAUCAAAAGAAACCCCAAAGAACCCUUCUU
rnacentral:lncRNA from 1 species